rnacentral:lncRNA from 1 species
CGCUCUAAGGGCAGCGGUGACACAGGUGGUGACCACCACUGCCUUCCUCCCUCCUCCGCCUCGCCGCCGCCCGAGCAGACCGCCGGAAACCACGCGGCUGAGAGGAAGGCGGCAGCAGGGCCUUCCUUCUCCCUCGAUGUCGCGGGUCGGUGCCUACGACCCCGACCAGAUGGGGGCGACGACGGUGUGACGGCAUCGGCGUCGGCGUCGGGUCGGCUCCGGGGCAGCGCGAAGACCGGCGGCAGGCAGGGGCGGUGUCGCGGUGGGCGAGCGACGGCAGCGGCGGCUCGCUCGCGCCGUGGUCACGGCGCCGGCGUCGGUGUCGGCUUCGGCUUCGGUGAUGGUGGACGAUGGAUGUUGCGGCGGCGCGCCCUAGCUAGUCGUCGCCCCCGAGCCUGGCUGGAUCUGGCCGUCCGCGGCCGGAUCCGUUGCCUCCACACAGGAUGGCAGCCGGUCGGCGGGGCGGCUGUGUGUGGGCGUUGCACGGCUCGGUGGGCUCUGGCGAGCGUGGUGGUGGCCCGCUGGUGGCCAGCCUCCUGUUCGGCAGGGGGCAUCUUCUGCCCGUGGUGGGUCUCGUGA